rnacentral:rRNA from 1 species
UCGUGAAGUGAUUUGUUUGGUUGAUUCCGUUAACGAACGAGAUCUCAACCGCCCAAUAGGUGCCACGUCGAUUGUAUCCCCGGACCACGCCUUCGGGUGUUGGCUCUGUGGGAGAGACGGGGUUACCUUCUCAGCGGCACCUGGCGUGCUUUCCAGCACCAUGGAGCGAGCCAAUAGCA